GACGAACGCUGGCGGCGUGCUUAACACAUGCAAGUCGAACGGAAAGGCCCUGCUUGUGUGGGGUGCUCGAGUGGCGAACGGGUGAGUAACACGUGAGUAACCUGCCCUUGACUUUGGGAUAACUUCAGGAAACUGGGGCUAAUACCGGAUAGGAGCUCCGGCUGCAGGGUGGGGGUUGGAAAGUUUCGGCGGGUGGGGAUGGACUCCCGGCUUAUCAGCUGGUUGGUGGGGUAGUGGCUUACCAAGGCUUUGACGGGUAGCCGGCCUGAGAGGGUGACCGGCCACAUUGGGACUGGGAUACGGCCCAGCCUCCUACGGGAGGCAGAGGUGGGGAAUAUUGAACAAUGGGCGGAGGCCUGAUGCAGAAACGCCGCGUGGGGGAUGACGGCCUUCGGGUUGUAACCCGCUUUCGCAUGUGACGAAGCGUGAGUGACGGUAAUGGGUAAAGAAGCACCGGCUAACUACGUG
rnacentral:rRNA from 1 species